rnacentral:lncRNA from 1 species
UCCUCAUACCUCGUCUGGUAUGAUGGUGAAAUGAGUCAUCCCCAUACCCCCAUCCGGUAUGAUUGUCAAAAUACAAAUUUUUGAUAACCCGUCCGGUAUGAGACAAUGUUCAUAGUAGGGUUCCCUAUGCACCCGGUCCGUCCACCAUCUCUUAGGAUAUCCAGUAAAGCUACCAUUCAAUCAUUCACUUAAUCAAACAAUUCUCCGUUUACAUUUAAUUUCAAGUUUCAUAAUUUAACUGUAAAUCACGCAGAGCAAGCAAUACAUGCAUCAAGAAAACACCACUGAAUCGUCAUAUCAACUCCAGUGUAAUAUUAUGCAUUUGAAAUAGUAAAAUCAAU